rnacentral:hammerhead_ribozyme from 1 species
AUCCGGCUAAAGAGUCCCAAACAGAACGAAACGUGAGUUCUGAAU